CUUGCCCAGCGUAAUAGGACCAAUGGAAUAGUAAUAUGGUCUUCCUCUGUUUGGUUACCCAGACCUUCUCUGGGGAGCUUGUUGUCCUCCUCCUACAGACAACACCAGGAGUCUCUGACUGCAGAGAGAGAGAGGAGGAGACAAGAGAGGGAGGAACGACUGCAGAAAAUCGAGAGGGAGGAGAGGACCCGCUUCAAUCGGGAUUACAUGGACAAGAGGGAAGAGACAAGACAGGCCAGAGAAGAGAGAUAUAAGUGCGUUGAGAGGCUUGCAGCAGAGGAGUAUGAGAAAGAGAGAGAGCGUGCGAGAGCGCCACCUAGGGGGCGCACAGAGAUCACCCUGAGCCUGAGCCCCACCCCCUCCAGUCGCUCCGCCUCCCCCCGCUGUGCCACGCCCUCCUCCAUCGCCUCUCUGGAAGACGCUGGCACCAUUCCAUCCCAGACAUACCAGACGCAGGGUAAAUAACCUUUUCCAAACGUUUAACCAACAUUAAAGCUCCCAUCCCAGACUCAGAGUAACAUAACGUUCUCCAAACAUUUAACUAUCAUUACCGGUCCAGAGAAGUUUUAUGUAUUAGUUCCCGGGGUCUGAAUUAACACAUGGAGGGUGAUUCACUCACACUUUGGAAUUAGAUUCAGCUGGACUAAUGAUGGCUGCAUGUUGUCUGUUGGGGGAAAAAUCAGCAGGACUUGAUAAGAAAAGGAUUUAAUUCUUGUUUUUCUGUGUGCUUCAGAAUGAGGUGUCUGUAAGUGUAUGUUGCUAUAUCCCAAAUAUGUUUUGGGAUGGGAUGGACAUUACUUGAGCUGCCUGUGGGAAAAUGCUUUGCAUGAUGGUUUGAAAUGUAGUGAGAGGCUAGCUUUUAGGUCCCAGGCAUACCCCAGUGAUUUGUAUGUGAUUGUAGUGUGGUUUUGGCUGUGGUAGCGCCAGCCACUAGGGCGUGGAACUCUUAAUAUGGGGUUCCAUUCACAUUCUACAGUAGGAGCCAGGAAGAGGUGUGGUGGACUGCAGACUACAGCACUGACCAUAGAGGGACAAGCCUUUCAAUACCUCAGACUCAGUUAUGAUGAUACAUGAAUGAAUAUCAUGAGAACUAGAUGUUGCUAGUCUGGGGUGGUUAUUCUAACCCACCAAAAUGGGAUAAUGGGAUCAAAUGAGAUGUCGAAUCUAAUUUUGAAACACAUUGUCAUCAUAGCUGUUAAUUCAUUUCCUGUAACAUUCAAUGAAGUACGAAUUGACAUGCUUAACGACUUCUGCUCCGGACCGAAAUCUAGACAAUUUAUCAUUUUAAUUAAUUAAAUGUCACAGAGCAAUUUUAUGUUUUUUACAU
rnacentral:lncRNA from 8 species